rnacentral:rRNA from 1 species
UUGAACGCUAGCGGGAUGCUUUACACAUGCAAGUCGAACGGCAGCGCGGACUUCGGUCUGGCGGCGAGUGGCGAACGGGUGAGUAAUAUAUCGGAACGUACCCAGUAGCGGGGGAUAACUACUCGAAGGAGUAGCUAAUACCGCAUACGCCCUACGGGGGAAAGGGGGGGAUCGCAAGACCUCUCACUAUUGGAGCGGCCGAUAUCGGAUUAGCUAGUUGGUGGGGUAAAGGCCUACCAAGGCGACGAUCCGUAGCUGGUUUGAGAGGACGACCAGCCACACUGGGACUGAGACACGGCCCAGACUCCUACGGGAGGCAGCAGUGGGGAAUUUUGGACAAUGGGGGAAACCCUGAUCCAGCCAUCCCGCGUGUGCGAUGAAGGCCUUCGGGUUGUAAAGCACUUUUGGCAGGAAAGAAAUCGCACGGGUUAAUACCUUGUGUGGAUGACGGUACCUGCAGAAUAAGCACCGGCUAACUACGUGCCAGCAGCCGCGGUAAUACGUAGGGUGCAAGCGUUAAUCGGAAUUACUGGGCGUAAAGCGUGCGCAGGCGGUUCGGAAAGAAAGGUGUGAAAUCCCAGGGCUUAACCUUGGAACUGCAUUUUUAACUACCGGGCUAGAGUAUGUCAGAGGGGGGGUGGAAUUCCGCGUGUAGCAGUGAAAUGCGUAGAUAUGCGGAGGAACACCGAUGGCGAAGGCAGCCCCCUGGGAUAAUACUGACGCUCAUGCACGAAAGCGUGGGGAGCAAACAGGAUUAGAUACCCUGCGUAGUCCACGCCCUAAACGAUGUCAACUAGCUGUUGGGGCCUUCGGGCCUUAGUAGCGCAGCUAACGCGUGAAGUUGACCGCCUGGGGAGUACGGUCGCAAGAUUAAAACUCAAAGGAAUUGACGGGGACCCGCACAAGCGGUGGAUGAUGUGGAUUAAUUCGAUGCAACGCGAAAAACCUUACCUACCCUUGACAUGUCUGGAAUCCCGAAGAGAUUUGGGAGUGCUCGCAAGAGAACUGGAACACAGGUGCUGCAUGGCUGUCGUCAGCUCGUGUCGUGAGAUGUUGGGUUAAGUCCCGCAACGAGCGCAACCCUUGUCAUUAGUUGCUACGAAAGGGCACUCUAAUGAGACUGCCGGUGACAAACCGGAGGAAGGUGGGGAUGACGUCAAGUCCUCAUGGCCCUUAUGGGUAGGGCUUCACACGUCAUACAAUGGUCGGGACAGAGGGUUGCCAACCCGCGAGGGGGAGCCAAUCUCACAAACCCGAUCGUAGUCCGGAUUGCAGUCUGCAACUCGACUGCAUGAAGUCGGAAUCGCUAGUAAUCGCGGAUCAGAAUGUCGCGGUGAAUACGUUCCCGGGUCUUGUACACACCGCCCGUCACACCAUGGGAGUGGGUUUCACCAGAAGUAGUUAGCCUAACCGUAAGGAGGGCGAUUACCACGGUGGGAUUCAUGACUGGGGUGA